rnacentral:tRNA from 1 species
AAAAUCCGUCGAUACUAGAUAUCGUGAGGGGUACAAGUCCCUCUAUCCCCA